UCCUGUGUCCCAGGGCUGCAGGUCAAGCUGGCCAGAAGGGACUGUGUCCGCUCUGAAUCCCCCCAGACCUAGUGGGACUUUCCAGCCCUCCGGGACCGCCCUGCUCCUGCCGCCCUAGGAAGAAAGGCGGAGGCAGUCGGGGUGCCGCCUGUGAGCCGGUGCUCAGCAGUCCUGCGCCCGCCAGAGUCCGCUCUGGUGUGUGAGGGACAGGAGGCACGUAGGGCCCUCAGUCACCCCAGUGUGGCCCUGGCACAGAGGACGCCAUGCUGCAUGAGCCCUGGGCAGAGAAAGAGACACUUGUGGACCUGGACAUGAAGUUGUGAAUUUGGGGUUCAGAACACAGCUUGAGGUUCAGGAUGUGACAGCAUUGCAUUGAACCUAGGGCCUCAGGCUGAGCUGCAUCUCCAGACCCUUACCUUUGUAUUCUGAGAUGCGAUCUCACCGAGUCCCUGAGUUCCCCAAGCUGGGCUUGAAAUUUCGAUCCUCCUGCCUUAGCCUCCCAGCAUGCAGAGAUUACAGGAGUGAUGAUGGGGACACCACCCCUAGAUUCUUCGAGGAGCCGCGGCGUUGCUCCCUGGUGUGUGCUGUGCUCCCCUGGCUCCACGGGACUCCUGCUGACCUGGCAGGAGGCGGAGCUCAGUGUAGAGGCCAGUGACGCAGCGGUUGGAGACACAGGACACUGAGCUCCUCGGCCAUGCUCACCUCCCGCCAUGUGCCACGUUCUGAACAGGCUGAAGACUGCAGCCCUAGGGCGGGGGCCAGGCCCCAUGCCCGAGACGGAGAUGCACAAGGCAGCGGCCACUGGAGGGGGAUGACGGCCUGACGGGGCGAAUGGCUGAGUGUCGGAGUGCACUGCUCAAAGGGUGGCUGGGGCUGGGGUUCCCACUCCCCCAUAGCCAGUGAACUCAGGGGUCUGACCUCUGAAAAUCCUCUCCAAUCCCACUCCAGACCAGACAGCUCUCUAUGCUUAGCAGAAAGCACAAGCAAAACUUAGGUGACCUUACGCAUUUAAAAGGCGCGCAGUCAGGUUUUGUGUCUUUAUUGUAAGCAGAUGCAAGUGUCCUGCUUAACCCACAGAAAAGUCUGGUAUCACUAUGGUUACCAAGUUGUCCUUAUCUACACAAAUAAAAGUUAAAAAUGUAGCAUACAAAAUAAAUUUUUCAGAAAUGUUUGAUUUGGUUUAAUUCACAAUUUAAUGUCUUAAAGCCGGUUAAUGAAUCAUCACUGUUGGAGAAUGAUUUAUGCUAAAUGCACCUACUCUGUUUAAUAAUUUAAAAAUAAACUUCAGUGUUUAUGAUGGUGACAACUAGAUACCAAUCAUGUAAAAUACAUUUUCGAAGGCUCUCUGAUUACAUUACAUAAUGAAUGGACAUUUUAAGUGGUAAUGCAGACACACAUAAUUUUAAGUCAGGGAUGAUAUAUGCAUAUUAAAAUUCUGUGUAUCUUGAUAAGGUAAAAAAUAAAGCUAUAUAAAUUAUCUUUAGAUUUUUUCUGCAAAAGUAGAAUCAUACUUUCAUAAUACUUCCAACACAUCUUCAUUAAAGCUUUGUUUACAGACACACUAUCAAUGAUUCUCAUUCCUGUUCACUUACCCUCUAGCUAAAAAAAUAAAUAAAUAAAAAGAUUGCAUUCGCCAACUGGUAUUUUUUCUGGUUUUUAAAAUUACAGUAACUUCCAAAGGAAAUGUAGAAUGCAAGGACCCACUGUUAUACUGUGCUGUCAAUAAAUAAUAUUACGGUGAAAUAAAAGUGGUUGUGUGAGUUCGAUGCCAGUCACUGUGGUCGCAUGAGCUUGGCAUUCCAAGGCCCAGGCUGGUGACUGCGCAGGACCCGGGGCUGAUGGAAGGAAUCUGUCAACACACGGCCUGUCUUCCUCUUGUCACCUGUGCUGCCCUGCCUGGUCCAGGCCGCUGGGGUGGCCUCGGUUGGCUGCGCUCAGGGCUGGGUAGCGUGAGUCUGCCCGUUUCCUGGCUGUCACUUCCUGGCUGUCGCAUGGCUUGGUGCAGACCUGGGGAGAAGGCGCUUCUGCCUGGGGCACUGGAUUCCCUGGGCAGGGGUGCUCGGUCACGGUUCCGUGGUUUUGUUCAGGGCCCUCGUGCCAGUGUGGCCACACCUCCUUCGCAGGAUGCGGGUGCAUAUGUGCGCGCGCCUGUGUCGUCCAGGGGCCUGAUGGGCCCAGCUUGGCCAGAGCUUCACACAGGGGCUUGAGGAAGGAGGCGGGUGUGUGGGAUGUGGGGGAGCACGUGUGUUUGUGGGUGUGUGCGCACAGGUGCAUGCAAGCUUGCACACAGGGGCUGUGCGUGAACAAGGAGCAGACACACACGGCCAGGACACUGGUAGGAGCGAGCAGACGGUGCGAGCCAGGAGCCGCGUGACCUGAGCAGCGUCGGGAGCCGCGAGCUGACCAGCGAUGAACAUGUGCAGCAGCAAAUGAGCUUUUCAAACCUAGGAAAAUGCUUCAGGUCCACAUCACUUGCUGUGAAGUUAGUUUAAGGCAAGCACACAGGAGCCACCCUGAGGCAGAGGAGCGCAUUUACCCUUGUCUGAAAGGUCCUCACUCCGGGGUUCUUCUUUUCCUGAUUUCUAUCUUGUGCCCUUCGCCUGUUUCAACGACUAGGCACACACGUUUAAUAAAUCCUGGGCAACGACACGGUGCAUGUGAGAGCUCUGGUGCCUUCGUGUGAAGACCAGAGCUGGGGUGGAGGGGGUGCCCCACGCAGGCGGGGCGGUUGCGUGGGACCCUUGCUCUAGGGAGUAUUAAGGCUGAGGAUGGAAAUGAAAGCAAGAAUGAAGAGCAGGUAACACUGCCGAGGAGCGGAGCAAACCAUUGUGCUUUUACUGUCCGCUCCGACGCAUCACUGCCACGGACGCCCAGGGAUGAGGAGGCGUGGAGAAGAAAAUGACACCUGAAGAUCCACAUUCGUCAGCCGUCAGCCAACUUCUGCCCGGAAUUUAAAUGCAAAGUGGCCGAAAUUUCAUAAACUUAAAAAAUGAAAGCUUUAAAAACAUACUUUAAAAAUUAGAUGAUAUGUUAGCAAAUAAAUGGAUAAAAGAGAUAGAAACAGCUAUGAAAAUACUUCAGUGCAAAGGCAAUUGUAAGAUUUCUAAAAAAAUACAUUACAAAUAAUUUGUUAACUAAACAUACAGAGAAUCUGUCCCCCCACAGGUUUUACAUUUGUACCCACUUUGGGUCCUUAAAAAGGGCUUUAGAAAUGCACAUCGUUGUCUGCAGGUCAGCGUGGACCGGGCGGGGCAGGCGCCCACGUGGACAGGGAUGGCACUGUGGGCCAGUGGCCAGGCGGGUGGCUCGGAGGGACGAGUGGGAACAGAGGAGGCCUGGAAGGAGAGGCGCCCUCCGCCCGUCUCUUCCCAGCCAAACGUAACCCCGUCCGUCCUGUGCUCACUCUCCCCACUCGCCCCAACUGCUGUGCUGCCACCUGGGCCCCUGAUCGAGCCCCAGGUUGGGGUGACAACACGGCUUGACAAAGCCAGAU